CCGAUUUUCUUCAAGCGAGAAUGGAACCGGAACUGGCCGUUCCUCGUCGGGUUCGCCAUCACCGGAACCCUGAUCACCAAGUUCUCUCUCGGCCUCACUGAGGAAGAUGCCAAGAACUCGCCUUUCGUUCAGAGGCACAAGAGGUGAUUUAUGUUUGGUGUACAAGCCACCUUUGUGCUAGCAUUGUGGAGAAGACGGCCCUCGUGCUAUUCUCAAGGAUCAUAAUAACGGAAGAGAGUUGUUCUAGAUACUCUUUUUUGAAUUUUCUGUUAUGUUUUGGAUGACUUGAAUAACAUGAGAAGAAAUACUUAUACUCAUUGGUUUUUAAUUUUGUGCGUUUGGCCAGACAUUAUUCAAACCAUGAAACAAAGUUGUGUUAGAGUUUCACGUUACUGUUACAGGCGAAAUAUCAUUUUCCCUUGCUUCU